GACGAACGCUGGCGGCGUGCUUAACACAUGCAAGUCGAGCGGUAAGGCCCUUUCGGGGGUACACGAGCGGCGAACGGGUGAGUAACACGUGGGUGACCUGCCCUCAGCUCUGGGAUAAGCCUGGGAAACCGGGUCUAAUACUGGAUAUGACUCCAUGACGCAUGUUGUGGGGUGGAAAGCCUUGUGCGGCUGAGGAGUCGGGCCC
rnacentral:rRNA from 1 species